UAGUUUAUAGUCCCACCAACAGUGUAAAAGUGUUCCUAUUUCUCCACAUCCUCUCCAGCACCUGUUGUUUCCUGACUUUUGAAUGAUUGCCAUUCUAACUGGUGUGAGAUGGUAUCUCAUUGUGGUUUUGAUUUGCAUUUCUCUGAUGGCCAGUGAUGAUGAGCAUUUUUUCAUGUGUUUUUUGGCUGCAUAAAUGUCUUCUUUUGAGAAGUGUCUGUUCAUGUCCUUCACCCACUUUUUGAUGGGGUUGUUUGUUUUUUUCUUGUAAAUUUGUUUGAGUUCAUUGUAGGUUCUGGAUAUUAGCCCUUUGUCAGGUGAGUAGAUUGCGAAAAUUUUCUCCCAUUCUGUAGGUUGCCUGUUCACUCUGAUGGUAGUUUCUUUUGCUGUGCAGAAGCUCUUGAGUUUAAUUAGAUCCCAUUUGUCAAUUUUGUCUUUUGUUGCCAUUGCUUUUGCUGUUUUAGACAUGAAGUCCUUGCCCAUGUCUAUGUCCUGAAUGGUAUUGCCUAGGUUUUCUUCUAGGGUUUUUAUGGUUUUAGCUCUAACGUUUAAGUCUUUAAUCCAUCUUGAAUUGAUUUUUGUAUAAGGUGUAAGGAAGGGAUCCAGUUUCAACUUUGUACAUAUGGCUAGCCAGUUUUCCCAGCACCAUUUAUUAAAUAAGGAAUCCUUUCCCCAUUGCUUGUUUUUCUCAGGUUUGUCAAAGAUCAGAUAGUUGUAGAUAUGCAGCAUUAUUUCUGAGGGCUCUGUUCUGUUCCAUUGAUCCAUAUCUCUGUUUUGGUACCAGUACCAUGCUGUUUUGGUUACUGUAGCCGUGUAGUACAGUUUGAAGUCUGGUAGUGUGAUGCCUCCAG
rnacentral:lncRNA from 1 species